UAAGUACAAGCCGUUGUAAGGUGAAACCGCGAACAGCUCAUUAAAUCAGUCUCGGUUUACUAGACGGAAGGGCGACCGUAGAUGGAUAACUGCGGAAAUCCUGGAGCUAAUACAUGCCAUUGACGCCGCAACGGUCUAACGACCGAAGCGCAGCCUUUAUUAGACCGUACCGGAGAUUCUCGUCCGCGAAAAUCUCCUUCGGUGACUCCGGGUAACCGACAGUGGAUCGCAAGGCCUACGAGCCCGCGACGCAUCUUUCAAGGGUCUGCCUCAUCAACUAGACGGUUCGCAAAACGCCGACCGUGGUGGCGACGGGUGACGGAGAAUUAGGGUUCGAUUCCGGAGAGGGAGCCUGAGAGA
rnacentral:rRNA from 1 species